GACGAACGCUGGCGGCGUGCUUAACACAUGCAAGUCGAACGGAAAGGCCCUGCUUUUGUGGGGUGCUCGAGUGGAGAAAGGGUGAGUAACACGUGAGUAACCUGCCCUUGACUUUGGGAUAACUUCAGGAAAGUGGGGCUAAUACCGGAUAGGAGAUCCUGCUGCAUGGUGGGGGUUGGAAAGUUUCGGCGGUUGGGGAUGGACUCGCGGCUUAUCAGCUUGUUGGUGGGGUAGUGGCUUACCAAGGCUUUGACGGGUAGCCGGCCUGAGAGGGUGACCGGCCACAUUGGGACUGAGUUACGGCCCAGACUCCUACGGGAGGCAGCAGUGGGGAAUGUUGCACAAUGGGCGGACGCCUGAUGCAGCAACGCCGCGUGCGGGAUGACGGCCUUCGGGUUGUAAACCGCUUUCUCCUGUGACGAAGCGUGAGUGACGGUAAUGGGUAAAGAAGCACCGGCUAACUACGUG
rnacentral:rRNA from 1 species